ensembl:miRNA
UUGUAUCUGGUGUGAUUAUAAAGCAAUGAGACUGAUUGUCAUAUGUCGUUUGUGGGAUCCGUCUCAGUUACUUUAUAGCCAUACCUGGUAUCUUA